GCGCCAGUAGUUUAUCGGCAGAAUUCUGCCUUCCCAAGGCAGUGAGCCGGGUUCAAUUCCCGGCUGGCGCA
rnacentral:tRNA from 1 species